rnacentral:rRNA from 1 species
GACGCACGCUGGCGGCGUGCUUAACACAUGCAAGUCGAACGAAAUGGCGAACGGGUGAGUCACGCGUAAUCAACCUGCCCUUCAGAGGGGGACAACAGUUGGAAACGACUGCUAAUACCUCAUACUGAAGUAUGGGAUUGCGUCUGAUUAGCGAGUUGGCGGGGUAACGGCCCACCAAUGCGAUGAUCAGUAGCAUGUCUGAGAGGAUGAACGGCAACAAUGGGACUGAGACAAGGCCCAGACUCCUACGGGAGGCAGCAGUGGGGAAUCUUCCGAAAUGGACGAAAGUCUGACGGAGCAACGCCGCGUGAGGGAUGACGGCCUUCGGGUUGUAAAGCUCUGUUAAUCGGGACGCGGUACCGGAAUAGAAAGCCACGGCUAACUACGUGCCAGCAGCCGCGGUAAUAC